CCGAGUUUACAACUCCCAAACCCAAUGUGAACAGUAUCCAACUUGUUGCCUCGGCGGAUCUAUGCCCGGCUCCGGUAGAAGCCCGGACAAGGCGCCCGCCAGGAGGACCACCUAAACUCUUUCUAUAUGUAUACCCCUCUGAGGUAUAAUGAGCUCGGCCUCUAGGUAGAAAUGAAUCA
rnacentral:misc_RNA from 1 species